rnacentral:rRNA from 1 species
GACUGUACGAAGGUAGCAUAAUCAUUAGUUUUUUAAUUGAGGACUGGUAUGAAAGGUUAGAUGAGAAGUAUACUUUCUUUACUUUUAUUUAAAAAAUUUAAUUUAUAAGUUAAAAAGCUUAUAUAAUUUUAUAAGACGAGAAGACCCUAUAGAACUUUACAUAAUUUUUAUAUUUUAUUGUUUUGUUUUUAUAUUUUUAAGAUAUAAUUUAUAUGUUUUGUUGGGGUGACAAAAAAAAAUUAAACUUUUUUUAUUUUUAUACAUUUGUUUAUGUAAAAUUGAUCCAUUUGUUUAUGAUUAAAAGAUUAAGUUACCUUAGGGAUAACAGCGUUAUUAUUUUGGAGAGUUCAUAUUGAUGAAAUAGUUUGCGACCUCGAUGUUGGAUUAAAAUGAUGAAUGGGGGUAGUAUUUCAUUUAGAUAGGUCUGUUCGACCUUUAAAUUUUUACA